CUACGAGAUAAUUCCAAUUCUUUGCCAGGGAAUCUACAUGAAACACAUGCAAAUCAUUGUCCUCUUUAUUGUCAUUAGGGAUGACACAUGAUUUGGUCCGGAACUCUGGAGCUCAGAGACAUCAAUAGCACACCUCGAAUAACUCAAGGCUCAAAAAAGUCGUAAAAAGAUAAGCCAGAUUACAGAAUACAUUGAUGACAAAAAUUAGCACCAAAAAAGUGAUGCCUACACAGUUGAUGCCGUAACUUAUCUUAACAAUCUUAUAAUCAAGUUAAAGCAUGAAAUGGACUUCCAAUCAUAACUGCAACCCUCUGUAAACAUAUGAACAUCCUGGCACAAACUGAUAUGGACAAGUAUCACGCUUCCCUUCCACAGGUCCCUUGAUGAAAUUCUAUGAUUGGAAAAGCAGUCAAUGACACGUGCAUUGUCAGUGCAAGACGUCAAACUCCAUCCCCUUACAAUGAAAAAGAAUGCGAAUCAUCACUAAUAUUCACACAAAUCUCUAUACUUAAAAGGGUUGUCAGAGCCUCUGUGAUUAUUAAAUUUUGUAGAAUCUUGAAAUAAAAUAAUUCACUAUCUCUAACAUCACACACAAACGUGAGAGAAUCUUAUUAUGCUAGAAUCAGCACCAUUGAUGUCACAUCCAGAUUAGCGCUUUACAUGUAGAAUACAAAGAGUCAAGAAAACUGUAAGUCAAAAGUAUUUUGCGAUGAGUUCACCUCAAGAAUGGGAACUGCCUUGAACUACAAGUUUGACUUAGGUUAUAGUCAAAUAAAGAUAUUAACUAACAGGAAUAACAACAAUGAACAAUAUAAUCAGAAUAAACCAAGAAUCAGGAAUGAAGAGCAAGAAUGUCAUCUAACUUCAUCUUGAAGAACUUUAAAGCAUCCUCAUUGUGAUUGACUAUUAUCAUACAAUGAAUAAUGUCAGAAUUUCGGAAAAUGAUGGUGUUUACUUAGGGACCAAGAUAUCUAACAUGUGUGAAUACACGGAGUUAUUUUCAUUGAAGACCGCAUAAAUUCGGAUUGUUAUAUUGACACAAGUUCCUUCGCUCGAUUGUUUGAUGUAGAAUCUAUAUGGUUAUCGAUUAAGGAAAACCCUUUCGUGAGCUUAUGGGGGGAUGGCUUUCGGUGGCCGGGAAUCUAAAAAGGGCGAUUUGAGUGAGGGGUGGAAAGUAAUGGAAAAUCAAAAUCAGACAAGAGGAACCAAUCAGAUCAGAAAGUAGUGAGUGGAGACGAAAAAAAACAAAUUCUGAGUGGAAAUCGUGAGUGGAAGAAAAAGCUCAGACAGUCAGAAAGGUUGCUGAGGAACAAGAAGCCAUCCUUUCAUUGUUUUGGUAUGAUAAGAAUCCGACGCACGCAAGCGGGCCACGAUUCACACACUCGCCCGUCCGUUUAUCAUGGUAAAGCUUUCUGAUUCCUUCCCCUUUUUGCUUAUCUUUUGGUGUGAUCAGCAUCCGAUUCCGUGUUUGCCACUCUUAUGAUUUGUUUGCAAAAGUCCCAAAGCCAUGCAUCUACACUGAAUCAGAAGGUGUUCCUGUGAAUUAACACAAGUUAGGAAUUUCUAGAUUCCAUAAUUCAUUUUCUCAUAUAAUUUUGAUAUGAAACUCACUUUGUCUUAAUCCCCUUCGCAUUAACUUGUCUGUGGAUGAAUCAUGUCACCUUGUUGUUCCCUUUGCAUGUUUGGAUUGGACUGAGUAUGUUUCGUCCAUGUUCUGCCCCUUGAAGUAUCCCAGAGUGACCUCAUUGUUUGCUUGCAUGAUUUCACUUCAUCCACCAUGUUCCCAUUGCGUUAGAUUUGCUUUUACACUAAAUUCAAUAUGCGUAUAGUUUAUUAUUUGCAAGUUCGUCGUUUACCUACGCCCCCACCCAAAAAGAUUGAAUCUUUAUACUGUUUUGGUCAUGCAUAUAGCUUUACUUAGUUCCUAAGCAUUCGAUUAGCUCUUAUUUUAUUCACAAGCACUCAAGUAGAUUAACUCAUAAUAGUAAUGAAAAGAAAUCAUAAAUAUAUAAUAAAAAGAUGUAGAUGGCAUAUUAGAUGAUUAUUGCAUCACGAGGUUCCUGUCCCAAAACUUAAUAGUAAGGCGUUGUAUAAUAUUGCCUGAUAUAGCUUGGGCUAUUUCUUUCCUCAUCUUCUACACACUUUGUUAUAAUUUGAUCGGAUUUUUAUUUGUUUGAGUAUCCAUACGUGAUUAUUUUGAUUUCUUCAAAAAAAAAUAAAAAAAGAAAGAAAGGGGAAGAUGGCAUGCAAAGCCUUUUAUAAAAAAGAAAAAGGUAUCCAUAAUAGGAGUUAGAUUUAUUUAGCGUAAUCAAGUCUCUGAGCUUAUGAAUAUUUAGUUUGCAAAAGUAAACUGUCUCGCGUCUUAGUCAGCUCCUAACUUUAGUGGCAGCUCUAGUUAAAAUCAAUUAACUAAUUAAUAAGAAACCAAUUUCCCAUGGGUAGGGCUUGGGAGAGACUACACGAAGCGUAAGUGCCAUCUUGCAAGAGGCUUAUUUGCACUUGCUUAGCAAUCUAUUAAUCUCCCUUGGGUUCACCUUGGGAGGGUCACAACACUUUGAAACAAAACCUAGUUCUUCAAAUAAGACCAAAAUGAAGUGAUGCUUUGCACUCACGACAACAAGACUUUUCUAGAAAAAGGGAAAUUGUUUUGGAAAAUUCAAGUCAUGAGCUUUUUGCGAACAUGAAUAUUGAGUUAAUCAAAUGAAAGAGAAAUGAGGGGUCAGAGCGCGCGCGUAUAUAUAUAUAUAUAUAUAUAUAUAUAUAUGUAUGUAUGUAUGUAUGUAUGUAUGUAUGUAUGUAUGUAUGUAUGUAAUAAGUGAUUCUUCAAAGAAAGAAAAAACUAGUGCUAGCUGGUGGCUCGCCCAAUCACGUCUCCCAACUAAGGCUAGAAAAGCCCAGAACAAGGCCAUUUGGGCCCUGUGCUAGGGCUGGGCACACUCUAGGCCAUUUGAGUCUGGUAUUGAGUUGGAAUGUGGAGUCUGAUUUUGAGUGGGAAUAUUGAAUUGGAAUGUUGAGAGUUAAUAUUGAGUGUAGAUGGAACCCCGAUAUGAUUGAUCGUGCCUGAUUAUGGGACGAAAUUGUGUGACACGAAAUUGAACAUAUCAUAACGGUUUGACCUUAUAAUCGAGACUCUUGUGGAUUGUUUGAUUGAAUGAUGGAUUAAUGAUGUUGACUCAAUUGAUUGACUAAGAUUGAAUGAGAUAUUCCAAAGGCUCGAGUGUUGUUACUACACGUAUAUGAUAUAUGAAUUGUACUGACCUGCAGGGUGGAAUUAAGGCAAGGUAAGUCCUCUAUACUAAAUGCGUGAUGGUGUGGUUAGGACGCUUCUAGGCGUAUUACCCUGCUAAUCAGGGUUUAAAGUGUGGACUUGCUGAGAUAUUGUCUCACUGGUUAUUGUAUAAUCAUUUUCAGGUCCUUAGAAGGUAGUCAUGGAGGACCAAAGCCCCGGAGUCUGUGGAAGUCAAGUCAUAAGGAUUGGCGUUUAGGUCCGACUGGUAUGUCAUAUGACAAUACCUUUGUUUUUGAGAGAUGACCUUCUUGUAGACUUUUGACUAGACUCGUUUUGUAUCUAAACACAUUGUUUAUAAAAGCAUGUUUGUUUGUGAAUGUGUUGUCUUGUUUUUUUUUUUUUUUUUUUAAUCUCGAGAUGGUUAUUGUUAGGGGAUUUAUUAUUCGCUUCCGCAUGUGCAAUAAAAAGAAAAAGAAAGGGUCGGCAAUUCGUCUUGGGAAGUCGCAAAAUAUUAUCGACCAGAGAGCGUGUCACGCCCCGAUCCUCGAACGCGCGCACAUCCUUCUAACUGGUCGAUUUUAGAAUGCGAUAUCCCAGGACUAUGUAUCGCCGACCCUUUCUUUUUAUUAAGCACAUGCGGAAGCAGUUAUAAAUCCCCAGACAAUAAAACAAUGGGAUAGGAAAGCAGGCCAUAUUUUUCAUAUUGAAAUUCACAACCACACUUUCAUUAACAGCACAACUCAUAGAGUAUUUACAAUACUAUUUACAACAUAAAAGUCCCACACCUAUCUACACUAAGACAGGGUGCACAAAAGGGGUGGGAUCUCAAUCCACAUCCGGGUUAUAUUCAAGAUCCCUCUCUGGAUCAUCUUCUACUUCAAAAUACUUUCUCCCCUUCAGGUUCUUCCUCCUCAGCUUUUCCUCAGGGUCCUGAAAUGGUUAUUCAAUAACCAAUGAGACCACGUCUCAGCGAGUCCUACCCCCUACGACUCGAUUAGUAAACUAAUACACCAUACGGUUGCCUAAGCACAACACGAGUCAGAGGACUUACCUUAGCCUCAGUUCCAACCUGCAAUUCAAGGUUAAACACAUACAUUCAAACAAUUCACGACAUCCGAUCAAGCAUUGAUCAAUCGACUUAGUCGAUUACAUGUCAGCCAGACCCUUUCUAGGUCAUUCCCACUCAUACCACGCUUUCUCAGUGGUGUACUCAUUCACCAAAUCACAUGUGUUUCUCGGGCGUCGUUUUCGCCAAUGACAUACCGAUCACCGACACCGUGCGUUCUUUAAGGCGCCGUUUUCACCAGUGAUAACCUUGAUCACCGAACCACGUGUCCUUUCAAGGGCGCCGUUUUCGCCAAGGUGACAUCGGCUAUAGACAACAUCGUGCGUUCUUUAAGGCGCCGUUUUCACCAGUGAUAUUCCCAUAACCACCGAACCACGUUUGUCUAUAAGUCAUUUACGUGCGUUCUUUAAGGCGCCGUUUUCGCCAGUGAUACUUCCAAUCACCGAACCACGUAUGUCCAAUAACAUCGUACCUGAUUGAUCUCACCAUCCUCCCUACUAUAUAGCCCAUCAACGUACUGGCGCUAUAUACUCAUGCUUGGCCAUUACCAAUCAAACAUUCAAUAACGAUCAAUUUAGGACAAUUCCUAAAAUUCCACAAUAAAUUCAAUUUCACACAACGUAGAGCUCAAUUAAAUAAACGGUCUACACCACGACAAUCGGCACGAAAUUCCGGUCACCGGCCAUCCCGGUUGAAUUUCCGGAAAAAUAAUUAAUUAAAUAAAUAAAUUUCGAAAAUAAAUAAAUAAACAUUGAAAAUCCAAUUUAGGCCCAUAUUGCCUUAUUGGAGCCCGAAACGGGUCGGGAAAAAUCCCGAGAUGCAUUCAAUAAAUAACCAAACAUUUCUACUUGCUAAUAGCUAGGUCUAACCACCUAACAUGCAUCAUUAAGUCACUAAAUUAAUUGUUCUAACCUAAUCUAACCACCUAAUUGCAUAUAAUUAAAUCUAACCAACCCUAAGGCAUAAUUAGCAAACUAAUAAAGCAUUAGUGAGUAAAACUCACUUGACAAAAGCGGAGAUCGAAUCACCGCAACGGCGACGCGACGGCGGCCGAAAUCGGACUUUCGACGACACCGGCGGACUUGGACCGGGCCUUAGGCUUGGCCCAACAAAUCUCAGCCCAAUUGAGAUUUGCUCUUGCACUGGAAUGGGCUGGACCUGCUGAAUUUCUGGACUGAACUAACUGCACUAGCUGAACUGGGCUUGCUGGUCUUGUGCUGAAUUCGGUGGCCCAAAGGACUGAAGCUCACGGGCUGGGCUUGCUGCAGGGCUUGUCUUCAGCUAGUUUGUUGGACUGAAGAUCACAUGUGCUGCUGAGCUGGGCCUGGCGAGAGAAAGACGUGGGCCUAUCUUCGGUCUUUGUGGCUUCAAAUCAAGACUCCGUAGGCUUCGCUGGGCCAACGAACAGGCAGAAGAAGCAGCUUCGGCGUCCUGAUUCGUGGAGAUGGGCAAGCUGAAGGAGUCCGCACGGCUGAAGACUGAGCAGACGUGAGAGAUGUGCUGGCCGAGAGAAGCAAGGGGGUUUGCGCGGCGUCUGCUGGCUUUGGUCUUCAGUUGCUCCGUUGAAGACAAGCCGAAGUAGAGAAUUCUUCGUGGGACUGCUGGUCGUGGAGACUUCGGUCAACAAACGGUGGAGGAGAGGGCACCUUUGACUGGAUCGUGUGCACGUGAGGUGGUUUAAAUCAACAGGGCUUCGGUGGAAUGAACUUCCGCAGCUACUGGACGCGUGGAGGUGGUCUUCAAGCGGUCAACAAGUCGAUUUUUGCUGGACUCUCCCGUUGACCAGGCAUGGGGAUCUCGCUGGAACGAGCUGGGGAAUUUUCGAGCAGCUGCUGGCGGGGAGAUCUCAUUCGGUGGAAGCUGCACGCGGUCUCCGCUUGUUGCUGGUGUUGACCGUGAGCUGGCGUGAGAGGCAGCGUGAAGAUGGAUAGUGGAGCAGACGAUCGAGGAGCUGAGGGGUGAAGGACGCGCGGCAAAUGGAGAUGCAGCUGGUGUCGAUGCUUGCGGAGAAGAUUGCUCGGGUCUUUGACUCAGCUGGCUGGACAGAAGAUACGGAUGGAGGAAAAUCUUGUAUGAGCUGCAGGGGGGUUUGCUCGGUCUUCUUCAGCGGCUGUUGGAAAUGUCGCACGAAAAUGAAAAGGGGAGGGAGAGUCCGAUCGGUUGAGGGGGUGAAGGGAAAGAGAUGGAUAGAGAUGAGUGAGAGUUGGGCUCCACUUGGUUGGAUAUUUCACAAAAUAUCUUCCAAAAUCAAUCUUGGCCAUGUAAGAAUACUUGGCCUUCAAUAGGCCAUCAAAACACCCUCUUCUAGAAGACCAAGUGGUCCAAAGGUUGUGGCUUAGUGGGGUACACGAAAUUUGGCACAAGCCCUCCUCAAUUGGACAUUGAACUUGCUUGAUUUAAAUUCAUUUGACCUCUACAAAAAUCAAUUGGCACUUCAAUUCCUCAAUUGACAAUUCUCCUCAUCCAACAAUCCUUCACGCUUCUCAAUUUCACAAUCGAAAACCACCUUCGGCAUUUUCUGCACUAAAACAACCCGGCGACGACUUUUUCCCAAAAAGUAUCGGUUGUCAGAAAAAUCUUCUGAGACUGAGUCGAUGCUCCUAAAAUUUAUUGUGACAUGGCCAAAACUUCAAUUUCUGAAAUCGGACUCGAAUUGGCGGUUAAUUUUCAUUCGGCGCGUUUUUAGCGUGACCUAGACUAUCGGGUAGUUUUCAGAACUUUUUAAGGCAAAUGACCCGUGGUCGAUUUUCUUCGAGCCACUAUGAACCCACUCGACUCAAUGGCGACUCUUGAUUGUCGUGAAAAUCUCGAGGAUUCAAUUACGGACACAGGGUACCAAAACAAUAAGAAAUCGGUCUAGUGCCGGUCAACGAGAAUUUUCUAAUUUAGUGGUGUCACCCACGAUUAGCCACAUAUCUCAGUCGAACCGACCUAUCUCUGAUCUCUAAUCGAUUUUAUACUGCGCCGCAAUGGCCUCUAAAGAUAGACACGGUCAAGAAGCCGAUUCCUGAUCGAGUUCUCAAGUCUAUUGCCUUAAAAUUCCUUAAUAAUUUCCCCAGCUAGUCUAGUUAUCUCGAGAGUGAUCGGCUCUGAGAAUAACCCUAUAGACGCGUCAAUGAAAUGCCCGAUUAAUUCAGUAGAAGACAGGGUUGAAAAUUUGGGAUGUCACAGAGCGAUGGGCACGUGCUCGAGGAUCGGGGCGUGACAGAUGAGGCUAGGUGAUGAUCGAUAAAGGGGAAAAAAAGAAGAAGUAAAAUAUUUAUAAGAUAAAAAAAUUGCAAAAUUGUCCAUGUCAAUGUUGCAAUGUCAUAUUGGACAACCGUGGCUAACUAGAUAGUCAUGUCAACACUUAUAAGGUAAAUUUGGUUGGAAUGACUAAUUUGACGAAUUAUUAAAAGGAUUAUGAAUAAACUAACAAAUCAAUAAGAAAAAUUAGGGCUAAAUUGACUCAAUUGAAAUAUUUUGAACUUAAUUGGCCAUCAUAUGAUAAGUUUAGGACUUAGGCUACAUUUGGUUUAGCUUUGGAAAUGGACCUUGAGGAAAUGCAAGUGUCUUUGGCCUAAAGGUUUUGAGGAAAUGUAAAUUGUGCUUGGUAAAAAAUUCUUUGCAAAGCUAUUCUGGCGUAAAUAGUAUUUGGCAAAUCUUUUUUUAUAAAAGGCAUUUAGAUUUCAUUUUUUAUUAAAAAUAUUAAACUCUUUGCCGACUCUAGUGAAGGUGAGGGUAGUUUUGAAACAAUGAAAGGUAAAACCGAAAAAUUAAAAAAUUUAUGAUGGUAGUUUUGGAAAGAAAUAAUAGUAGUUUUAGCAUUUGGCCAAAUGUUGAAAACCAUACUAAAAACCCAAAGCUGGUCCCCAUUAGCAUUGGGUUUUUAGCUUUCUCAAGAUCGGCAUUUGACUGAAAGAAACACCCCAGCAUUUCUCCAAAGGGCUUUGGAGGUUGAAAGCCUAUUGGGAAAAUUGAAUCAAACGCAUCCUUAAUUGGACAAUUGAAAGGUUUUGGAUUAGAUUGGCUGUUGUAUAAUAGGUUUAGGACAUUUUGAACAACUUUUCCAAUUUUUAGCCAUGUCCCAUCUCUCAAUUGUAAUAGAUCAUAAUCACUUUUUUGAUCAUGGACUAAGACUGAGUUCCAAUUCAAAUCCCAUGAUCUUUUUUUAGAGGUGUAAGAGGAAUUUGUCCGGCGAAUACUGCAAAAAUUGACUUAGUCGAGAGGAAGGUUGUGAAAUCUUAUUAGAAAUUCUAAACCAUGAAUUUCUUUUAAACAAUUCCAAGUUGAGUUCGAACGUUGUAAGUGUCUUAAUUUCUUUUCAAUUUCUUUGGCUUCGAUAACCGACUUUCUUCAGUCGCGUUUCGGGCUAUAAUCUGGCUUUGGUAAUUGGAUUUGAGUUGAGCUGAGAUAGACUGACACGUCCAAAUUUGAUUUCAUUACUAGAAUGUGUGUAAGUCCAGUUGAUAACCACUGACCCCGAAGAGAGCGAGAAGCAGGAAGUUUAGAAUUUUCUCUUCUUUUAAAGACGAAAGGCCUUCGCCCAUGAAUUAGGAUUCGCGGUAGAAAUACAACAUAAUUCCAAAGACAAUUUGAAGGAUAGCAAAGGGGCAGGAAAAAAAAAAUACAAAAGAACAAAGCGGCAGUUCAAAGCUUAAAUAGAAGGGAGGGUGUCAACUCUAGAUUUGUGGCAGAGUUAACACAAUUUAUUUGAAAUAAUUUAGAGAAUUUUGACUUAGUAUGCUCUGAUCGAGUUAAGUUAAAAAUGGUCUCACCUGAUCAACCCCUAACAUUUUCGUUGUGGGCUUAAUGUCAACUUAUGCCCUCAUGGCAUGGGCCUUCUAGCUUGUGUCCUCACACAUGGUGAUACUCCAUUUGUCGAUUGUCUUCUAUUUAUGAAGAAAUAAGUCACGUUAGCUUAAAAAAACAUGACAUGGCACAUUAUUUUACGAAAGGACCACAUUGAGCUAUAUUUUGAAAGUUCCAGUACUCAAUUGAACAAAAGAAAAGUUAAGACACUGGAUUAUAAAAUAAACAAAAGUUUCAACUAUUUGCAGUGUUAUUACACCUAAAAUAUAAUCAUAUAUUGAAAAAAAAAAAGUUCUUCCAAAUUGUUACUUACAUUAACUUUCCAAUGUCAACUGGCUCCUAUUAAUUUAUCGACCAUUGUAAUACAUAUUCAAGGAAACCAAAAGCAGGUUGAAAACAAUGAAGAGUUGAAGACUACUCUUCUUGUGCUCACAAAGAUCAUGUGUUCUCUCGCGCCCAUAGUGAAUCAUUCUUUCAUAUGCAGCUUUCCCAACUGGCAGUUUUGCGUCAAGUAAGAGAACUCACAUGGGAGAUAUUCGGUGAAACUCUCAAGCAGCACUUGUCCGUGCCUCCAUUUCUCAAGGGCGACUGUCGCUGUGAUUCAGACCUAAAGGCAAAAGUACAUAAGGUAUAUAUGCAAAAGUAAUGUCAAGAGAGAUACACUUUCACGAAUUCGGGGAACAAUAAUAAAAGAAAGUUAACAGUAUAAAACAUAUAAUAGAGAACAUCAGCCACAGACACAACCAAGGUUAUUGCAUCUCCUAAUGAAAAUCUUUUACAUGUACUUCAAAAAGCUGCAAAUUAACAUGCUUCUCUUCCUAUUUAUUGCAUAGGGAAAGGCUGUGAAUUACAAUAACCAAAUAACUCUCCAAUGAAACCUCUUUUAUCAUCUCCACAGUUCAAAAGAUAGGAGAUAGAUCUAUGUGACUAUUUUGUGAAGACUUCAUUGAAGGUAACCAUUAUAAUUUUUGGGUUAUGUGGAGUGAAGAAAGAAAUCACAAAGUCAUACCUAUAUUCUGGCUUAAAAUCAUCAAUUAAGAAAGCUUAAUUAUGUAUCAGAUCACAACGUGACACUAACUAAAGAAUAACAAGUCUAGACCUCUUGGAUAUUAAUCAUACUCACAUGCACCCAAAUGAGAGAACUACAUCUUAACCUACAUAUGACAACAAUAGUUUCUACUAGUAAAAAAUCACAACAUUUUUAACCAAAUGUCGAAACAGAGUUCUUCAAAGCUUAUACCUCUAUCCUUGAAAAAAACUAGUUCUUGAAAAAAGACAAGAAUGAGGUAAUGCUUGUAUUCAUAACAGCAAGAUGAAAAAUUAACUCAAGGACAAGGAGUGUUUCAAGUAGCAUUGGAGGUACCUAGUAAAACAGAAGAAGAAAAGUUUAACCAGUCAAUGUAGACAUUUGGGAGAAAACUAUCCAGUCCCUUUUGAGAUGAUAUGCAGGUUUAAGGUGGCAAAAGAACAUGAACAAUCCAACAAACACAGUGAUAUUUUAUCUUAAUUCAUGAUAGCUUCAAAUUUACUGCCAAGUGCAACUUCCAAUUGGGAAUAGUGUUAAAAUUGGUGGCACAACCUGAAACCUCCAACAAGCAAACUUAAUUCAAGUAUGGUUCUUUAGGACCAUGAAUUAAAAUGCACUCUCAAAUCCAACUUCCAUCCAUAGGAAAAGGGAAUCCCACAAGAUAGUGCCAGUAUUUUACUGGAAGAGAUAUUGUGAAAUUCAUCUCAGUAUGAACAAGACUGGUUCUCCAUUGUGGUCAGGAAGACUCAGGCAAUUAGGAGCUUGAGCCACAUCUUAACAGGACGUGAGAAAAUAUAUAGCACAAAAAUUAUCGAAUUAAACCUCACACAACACAAAUUCAUCCAUAGGAAACCAAAAAAAAAAUCUUAGGGAGACAGACCUUUAAGGAUAGUGAAAACUGCAAAAUGAAGAGUUGACUAAUCCCUAUUUAAAGAAAUAGUUUCCACUUUUCGUGCCAUAGAUAACCAAGCAUUGAUAACUGAGUCAAAUGUGGUUGUCCAUUGGAAUUUUAUUGUGCUUUUACAACUACGAAUUUCUAUCACUAAACAUCUGCUCAACUUGAACAAGACAAAGAACAUGAGAGUACUAAUUUUGGCACUACAAGUAAACUAAACUCACUUGGUACUGUUGAUUUGUUGAAGAGAUCCAACAAAAUUGUGAGAGAACAUUAGGUGAAGUCGAUUUCCAUCCAGAGAUGAAGAAGCUUUUGUUAAUAGAGACAGAGAGAAUGUUAAUAGAGGGGUUGAGGAGAAGAGUUAAUGGGACUUUACAGGAAAGGAACAACUUUCAAUUCCAAAUCAGAAAAGAGGAGGCAGGGCAGGUACCUUUCUUUUGUUUGGGCGGGUUUCUUUUCUUUUACUAGGCAGUACUUCCUUCUCCCCGUAUGCCCUAAUUUCCAUCUCUCUUUAGAGAUGGAAAUAGCUACUUUCAAGGCUCUGUGUUUUCUCACUUGAUUUAAUUCUGUGGGGAUAUCUUACGAUAUGAAUAGUUUCUUUUUGCGUAAAGGCCAUAAGCAAAGUAAUAAAUACUCACUUCUGAACAAAGAUCCCUACAUGGAUUUCGAAAUACUUGGACUCCUUUAGCCUCCUAAACUAAACCAACGCUGACAAAAAAGCCAUGGAUUCCACAUGAAUUUAUUGUCUAUUACGUCGACAAUAUAAGUAAGCCCAUAUAAAAUUAGUGCUUGUGUGUGUGCUCCACUCUCAUCAAUGCUUAACAUGAUGAGCAAUUUCAGGAUGCUUGCAGGUUCAUUACAGAAGAAAUAACCUCAUGCCCUUGGUACUAAUAAUCCCCACAAGAGCAAAUGCCACCCCUAAAGUGAUGAAAGCGACCAGAAUUUCUCACAAUAAUCUCAUGAUUAUCAAUCUUUGCAAUAAGUAAAAUUGCGGAAUGACAAUCCCCACAAAUGCGAGGAUUCGCAUUACAGUUACCACACUAUCCUUGACAGUACUAAUCAAUGCAAAUGGAACAGCAAGCCUUUCACUAUGGUAAAAUAAUGACUUCCUUCUAUUUGUCUUUAAUGUCAUGGAGAGAGAAUCUAUUAUCCAGAACAUAACCCAAUCCCUUCAACUUCAUUUUUAACCAAUCCAGCUUCCAAUAGAUGCUCUCACUCAAAGGAUGAGAUUUAUCACCAGAAUGAAAUAAAUGCUUUUGCCUCUUUAUAGUAACCUGACUGCUACUCGGUUGCUUCACAAGCCCUCUAUCCCUCAUAGUCACUCUUAAUCUUGAGACAUCACCCUACUAUUAGUAGAAGCAUAGAAGUUGAUAGUAAAACAUAAGCAGCACUACAACAUGGUUUUAAAUCAAGAAUAUAGUAUGCAGUUUUUUCUGCCAAAUCUAGGUUAGAAUGCAUCUUGCAAGAGCUAAGCCAAACAAGCCAUGCAAUGGAGUUAGUUUUAAGGAGCAUGAUUCUUACAAGAUCCUCUGCUUAGCACAUCCACCAUGCAAGCAUGAUGCUUGUAAAUGGAAGUGUUCUCACUAAAUUAUCUGAACAAGCAUCUCCCAUUUUGUAACAACCCAGAAUGACAACUGGAAGAAAGAAGUCCUAUGAGUAUGAUCUUAUCUGGUUCUACUUAUAUGCUUAUCAUUUGGCUAAAUAACUCCAUAGCCCCACAUCCCUUGGCCAUCUUGUGCCCACCUGCAAACAAUGGCAUUCCAGGUGAUAAUGUUCUUCUCCCUGAGUCUUUUGAGCAUUGCAACAGCAUUAUCAACCACUCCACACUUAUUAUACAUGACUAUAAGAGAAUUGCCAACAAAAACAUUACUUCCCAAUUUCAGUUUUACGGCUGAUGCAUGGACCUCCUUACCUCGAUCGGAGACUCUAAACUACAAUGCAAGAAUUUAAAGCACUUACAAAAGAAGAUUAAUUAGGAAGAACACUUGUUCUCAUCCUGUCACUGAACACCUUUGGGUUGCUUUCUCAAUUCGCUUGCAGUAAGCAUAGAACGUGAUGACAGAAGCACAUAAAAUAUGCUAAGGCAGAAUCCUGACUUGAAAACGUGACCAUAAAUCUGCACACCAAGAGGAAAAGACAAUGCAUUUGCUCAGGCACUCAAAGCACAUGUUAAAGUACUCGGUACAACACCAAAACUUGAACAUUCUCUCAAAACUAUUAAAGCGUCUUCACUCUUACCAUUUUGGUCAAGCCGGCCAUUCAUUGAAGUCCAUGAAAUGACAUUUCGAGAAGGCAUUUGCUUUAACACCUUCACAACAUUGUCCAUCCUCACAUCCUCACAACACCCACAAACCAUCACAUUCCACGCAGCGAGAUCUCUUAUGGGCAUCUGUCAAAAAAAUACCUCUGCCCACUCGACCUGUCCAAAUCGAAAGGACCCAUCUAUCAUCGCCGUCCACGAAACAACACUUGGUUCGGGCAUUCAAUCGAAAAGCUCUUCCACUGUCAUCAAGUCCCCGCAGUCUAAGCAGCCUUUGACCAUCAUGUUCUAGCAAAUUGCAUCUCUCACGGGCAUUUCAUAGAACAGUUUCAAGGCGUCGUCAAGGCGGCCAGUUAGCUUGCAACCCACGAUCAUCUUCGUGAACGAACAAACAUCUGGGCAUUGAAAUAUGUCCAGUACCUCUGGAGUUUCAUCUGGUUUUUCGUCCUUAAGGUGUGCAGAGACCGCGGGAUUUUCACGAGUUGCAUGACUCGCGCAUUUGAAGAAGCGCUUGGAAAGUUGGGUGUAGGUUUCGGAUGAACCAAGCCAUGAAGAAGGGAAUGAAUGCAUGCAGGAGCAUCUGAGAAUUCGGAAAGAUGGCACGAAAUCUUAUCAUAACAACGACGAGCUUAUCUACUCCUGUUUUCCCGGUGGGCAGGACGCGGGACAGCAUCUCGUGAACUUUUCAAACUGUCGCACGAUCAGGGCCGAUGUAACGAAGGCAUUUAAUUCAAUAAAUUGAGAUUUUUCUGCUUGCUGUUUUAAGGAGCAUAAAUUUGACGGUUGCAAUUUGUCAUGCGGAGGAAAGCUUGUACCACUACUACUCAUUCUCUCUUAGUUCGAUUAGUGGCCUAAAGAGCUUCUUCAAAAGCUUCUUCAAGGACUUCAAUUAUAUAUUUUUAUAAAAAUUAUACUGAAUGGUGAAUUCUUGGAGAUUUCAGUAAAUCCAUUAGAAAUUUACAUAUCAUAUUUGGGUAUACAUUUAAACAUGUAUUCUUUUUCUAGAUAAUGAGAUGAUGUCAUUUUUUUAUAACAAUUUUAUAUUAUUUUGCCUUAGAGAAAUUCUCAAUAUUGAAAUUGAAUCCUGAUAAAAUAGAGUUGAUCUUUUGUUGCAUAUCAGGAUGGAUACAAUGCUGAGUUUCUUCAAUUGAGUGGUUUUAAAUGUUGGAUGUUGUCUGUCAAGGGUUAAGGGUUCUUCCUUUUAUUCCCAGUAGUCUUUUCUCUUGGAAUAUAGCAUGCACGCUUAAGAGGAUGUGGUGUUAGCAAGGCACGACCCAGCCCACUUGGGCCAGAAACAGCAUCGUGCCUAGGCUCGGCCUGAUUUGUAGCAGAUCGCGCAACGUUUUGGACUUGGGCCAAUUUAGGCCCAUGGACUCUAAUGGGCUGGCCUUGGCCCAAUUCUCUUUUUCAGAUCCAGCCUCAGAGGCCAAAUCCAAUAAUGGGGCCCAACUAUGGGGAACUUUUGAGGCCUCGGCCCCAAAAAUCACGUUAGUGACGAAUUCGGCCUAACAGCCGGCCGUUGGGCCAUAAUUUAAAAUUAUAUCUUUGUAAGUGAUCAUUCGGUCACUGAUGAUAACCAAUUAUGGUGCGUUUGGUAACAUUUCUAUUUAAAAAUUGUUUCUGGGAACAUAAAUAGAAAAAAGUAUUUCUGCUUCAGGGAACAAUUUUUGAACAAAAAAAUGCGUUUGAUAAAUCUGUUCCAGAAAUAUAAAAAGAAUAGAAACCCGUUUGGUAAAUUUGUAUAAUUUUAUUUAUUUAUUUUAAUUUUUUAAUAUUUUUAUUUUAUUUUUUCUAUUUUCUUUCUUAUUUUCUUAUUUAUUUUUCCUUUUUUCUUUUUUCUUCUUUUGGCCGGUCACCGGCCUCGGCCAUGGCCGGCGACCGGCUGACGAGGGCCGGCGGCCUCGCCUAGCCACGGCGAGGCUCGCCGACGAGGCUCGGCGUCGCCGAGCCACCGCUAGGCGACGCCGACCUAGCGGUGGCCCGGCAGGCCGAGCCUCGCCGGCCACUGGGCAAGCUCGGCCUCGCCGAAUCUGGGCGAGAUCGAGCUCGCCCAGCCCGACGCGAGGUUGGCCUCGCCUUGGCUAGGCGAGCUCGAGCCUCGCCGGCUGUCACGCCCCAAUCCUUGGGCACGCACACAUCCUUCUCACUUGGUUGAUUUUAUAAUGUGAUAUCCUAGGACUAUGUAUCGCCGACCCUUUCAUUUAUUAAGCACAUGCAGAAGCAGUUAUAAAUCCCCAGACAGUAAAUCGAUAGGAUAGAAAAGCAAGACCGCAACUCAUAGAAACUAGGAUAUACCUUUACACACAUCGAGCCAAUUUAUUUAUAAAGCCAGCCGAUAUUUACAAGGUCUAACAAACGGAUUGGUUGACAAAAUUUAUUGUUCUAGGACUAACUAUUCAAACUCGACUUCUGGACCCUCAGGGUCCACUUGAUUUGGGCAAGACGACGGGUCUUCCACAUCACCGUCAAGUAGGUCCGCUUGUUCCACAUCCUUGGUCGCAUCAAUCACUUCGGCAGGGACAUCGAAGCUUAAAAGGGGACCUAUCCUUAAACCGUAUGGAGUGGUUCGGAACCAGGCUCUAAAAAGAUCGGGUACUUCUUGAUUUGGAGCCUCUUCUGCCUAGACUGAAGUUAUCACCAACUCAUAAGUCCAAACGCUCCUUGGAUAAGGAAAAGCAGAGACCCGAUCGGUCGUUCUCGUAGGACGACCAUAACGCCCAAGGGGAUCUGCCAUCUCCGAACCUGAAAUGGUUAUUCAAUAACCAAUGAAACCACGUCUCAACAAGCUCUACCCCCUAAUACCUGAUUAGUAAACCAAUACACCGUCUAGGUUACCUAUGCACAGCACAAAUCAGAGGACUUACCUUGGCCUCAGUUCCAACCCGCAGUUUAAGACUAAACACAUAUAUUCAAACAAUUCACGACAUACGAUCAAGUAUUGGUCAAUCGACUUAGUUGAUUACAUGUCAGUCGGACCAUCUCUAGGUCAUUCCCACUCAUAUCAUAAUUUCCCAAUGGUGUACUCAUUCACCAAAUCACAUGUGUUUCUCGGGCGUCGUUUUCGCCAAUGACAUACCGAUCACCGACACUGUGCAUUCUUUAAGGCGCCGUUUUCACCAGUAAUAUCCUCGAUCACCAAACCACGUGUCCUUUCUAGGGCGCCGUUUUCGCCAAGGUGAUAUCGGCAAUAGACAACAUCGUGAGUUCUUUAAGGCGUCAUUUUCACCAAUGAUAUUUCCUUAAUUACCGAACCACGUUUGUCUAUAAGUCAUUCACGUGUGUUCUUUAAGGCGUCGUUUUCGCCAGUGGUACUUCCAAUCACCGAACCACGUAUGUCCAAUAAUAUCGUACCUGAUUGGUCUCAGCCAAUAACAUUCUCAGUUAGCUCUCCCCAUUCUCUCUACUAUAUAGCCCAUCAACGUAACUGGCGCUAUAUACCCAUACUCGGCCAUCUACCAAUCAAAUAUUCAAUAACAAACAAUUUAGGACAUCCUCAAAUUUCACAAUUUACAUCAAUUCCAUAUAAAUUGAAGCUCAAUUAAAUAAACGGAUUGCACCACGACAAUCAGCACGAAAUUCCAAUCACCAACCAUCCGGGUUGAAUUUCCGAAAAAAUAAUUAAUUAAUUAAUUAAUUUGCAAAAUUAAUAAAUAAAUACUAAAAAUCCAAUUUAGGCCCGUAAUGCCUAAUUGAAGCCUGAUAAGGGUCGGGAAAAAUCCCGAUAUGCAUUCAAUAAAUAGUAUAGACAAUUCUCUAAGUAAAUACACUAACCACAUAUCUAAUAUGCAAUGCAAUUAACUAAUAAUCACUAAUCCAUUCUAAUCUAAUUACCUAAUUACACUUAAUUAACACUAAUCAACCCUUAAGUGUCAUUAGCAAACUAAGAAAGUAUUAGUGAGUAAAACUCACUUGAUUAAAGAUUUGAUCGGAUCAAAUCUACGAGCACGCGACAAGUUUCGAUUCUCUCCAAAGCAAUUUCGCCAACCGGGAUCGAGACGGCUCAAAAACGGGCCACGGGCCUUCAAACUCUUGCUGCAAACUGAAGAAAUAGGCUGCUGAAACGGGUUGCCUUCUUCCACUCAAACGGACCUCUUGGAUUUGAACCGGUGUAGGCGUGGGUUGGGCCGAACUACAGAAAACAGAAAGGCCGAAGUUGCUGCCGAAGGGGCCACGACUUCCACGCUGGAGAGGAGUCCCACACGCUGGAGGGCUGACUGACAAAGUGGGGGCGUCCGCGACUUCUGUGGAGGGGCAGACUGAGCACGAAAAGGGACAAACAGCUGCACAACUGAAGGAAGCAGCGUCGUCGAUUCUGGUGGACCACGCUUCGGCUGAUUAAGGAAAGAGACAGCACGUGUAGAUGGGAGAAGUGAUGCGAGGGAAGUGGACAGCAACCGCACAAAAGGAGAGAAGACUCCUUCAGUCUUGAUGAGGGGGACGGCGAACCGGGCAGAAACCGAAUGAGACGGGAGGACGUUUGUCUACAUCGCCAAGAGAGAGGGGGAGAUAUUUAUUUAAGGGAUAAGCAAAGACUCGGUCAAACAGGGGAAAUUGAAUUCUGCAGAGAGAGUCGGUGGGGCAUGAACCGAGAGAGAGAUGUGCGGAUGGUGUUCACGCACGAGGAAAAAAGUAAAGGGAACGUGCGUGGAAGGGGAGAAGAAGAGAGAGAAUAAAUGUGCGGGUGAGAAGGGGACAACGUUGGCCAGAGGGGCACACGCCAAAAGAGAAAAAGAAAUAGAGAGGGGGAAAAAGAAUUAAAUAUUCUUGCAUGAGCUUCGGAUGAUUAGGAAGCAUGUACGAUAGAGAAGAGAUGUACAUGGCCGAGAGUGUCCAAGGGAAAAGGAACUAAAAUGUUGAAUAAAACACUUUAUACUCACCUUCAAAUAACAUUAUUGAUUGGUCAUCCUAGGCCAAAUUCUUCAUCAAUUGUACAUUUGAAAUCUAAUUGAAGGCGGUCCUUUAAUUCCACGAAUUUUCUUCAAAUUUGACUUCAAAUUUGACUUCAUCAAUUGGUUUCAAAUAUCUCGGCAUUCGAUAUUCUGAACAAAUGAAUCCGUUUAAGGCCCAAUUCGAAUUUAGAAAAAGCCCAAACAACUUUCAUUCACCGAUUCGCCUACACCAGAUGCCAAAUAUCUUUUCGAAUUGGCCAAUCCGUAUUUCCAUUCAUUUUCCGAAUCGUCCAUCUUGAUUUCCCGAAAAAAUCCCGAACUCUCCAGAAUUUCCUCAAAAGGUGAGUCAUCGUUCUUAGAAUGACCCAUGACACGACAAGACUUCCAAUUUCUGAAAUCGAAUUCAAUCGCGGUUAUUUUCAAUCAAACGCGCUUUUAGUGUGACCUUAUCUACCGGGUAGCUUUUAGGAAUUUUUGGUGCAAUUGACUCGUGGUCGAUUUUCUUCGAACCACAAUGAACCCAUCCGACACAUUGGCGACUCUCGAUGGUCGUGUAAAUCUCAAGGUUUCAAAUACGGGCACAGGGUACCCAAAACGACAGAAAAUCAGUUUAGUACCGAUCGAUGAGAAUUUCACCCACACUUGAUCACACAUCUCAGUCGAAUCAACCUAUCUCCGGUCUCUGGUCGAUUUUGACAAUGCCGUAAUGACCCUUGCAAACUAGCAUGGUCGAGCAGUCGAUUCCUGAUCGAAUUCUCAAGUCUAUUGCGUUUAAAAUCCCUAAAUGACUUCACCGGAUAGGCCAGUUAUCUCGUGAGUGGCCAACUCAGAGAAAAACACUAUAGUCACGUUGACGAAAGGCCCAUCUUAUACAAUCGAAAUCAGAACUUGAAAUUCAGGAUGUCACACCGGCCGCUGGGCGAGCUCGGCCUCGCCGGGGGCCGGCGAUGCUCCGGCAAGAUCGCCGGCCCUCGAUGGCCGGUCGCCAGCCAUGGCUGAGGCCGGCGACCGGCCAAAGAAAAAAGAAAGAAAAAAGAAGAAGAAAAAAGAGAGAAGAAAAUGGAAGAGAAAGAAAAAGUGUUCUUAAAAUGUGUUCCAGAAACAAUAAACAACUUUUUUUUUGUUUCUUGUUUCCGUUCUAGAUGUGUUUUUGGGAACAAAAAAAUAAUUUUGGAACAAAAACGCAAACAAACGCAUUUAUGUUCCUUUUUUGUUCCCAGGAACAAAAAAACAGAAAUUUUUGUUUCAGGGAAUAGAAAUAAUUUUUAACAAACAGGCCAUUAGCAAUCAGUUGACCCAUUUCUCUCAUUUUUCAAGUUCCUGUUCUGUCACCGUCAUUGAACAACGUUCGCCGCCGUUCAAACGGUCGAACCGAAAUCUGUUUUUUUUUUUUUUUUUAAAUUCCACUUCGGCUGAUGUACUUUAUCAUUGGAUUUUAUUCUUUUAUGUUUUUUUCUCGCAACUUUAGUCGGAACACCUCCAACAGUACAUGGAGUAGAAUUAUGAUUUUGACCUUCAUAGUCCAAAGUUUAACAACAUGUAUCACGGAGUAGGAGAGUGGACAGAAGCGAACUAGAUUGGGCUCUGAAGCAUCUUAAAGAAAGGAAGUUUGAAAGAGGUAUUGUUAAAGUGGAGCCAGAAUGCUGCGAUGUAUUUUCUAUGGGAGGAGAGGAAUCAGGUGGUCCAUGUUGAUUUUGCUCCCUACACCAGAAGAGUCUUGGCAAUUAUUAAGCUUGAUCCCUGCCACAGAUGGAGAAUUCAACUUUUGUUGCUGGUAGGAAAUGUUCAUGGUUAGUUGCUGCUAGUGUUCUUGGUGGAUUUUAAUGUGGAUAGUUUUCCUUGUAGCUGGGAUUUUGGUUUUUACUUACUGCACAGUACAUUUUAUGAGAUUUAUCAUGACAACGACAGAGCGGCCUGAAAUGUUUUGAUAGAUUAAUCAUCAUUCAGAGAAGGCCCGACCUCUCCCUCUCUAACAAGACGGCAGCAACAGUGGAGGGUGAUAGCAAAACUUAAUUUGAGUUUGGUUCAGUAGGUGGUUUGAGAUCAGAGUUUUUAGGCGGACUUUUUGUACAAGCGAAAAUAUUUUAGUCAUUUAUGCCUUGCAAAGAUGAAAUUGAGUUGCAUAUUUGCAUUUCUAAAAAGAGAUGAUGCAAAGUGGCCACCCUUAGCCAGGUUGCGGGCUUGCAGUGGUGGCUGCGUGUCAUUGUCAAGACCCUUACCCCUUUUCCCCUGUGUAUUACUCCGAACACUGGCCUAAAUUGAAUUCCCGAAUUUGGAAUAUCCCCAUUCUAGGCACACCUCGUGACAGGCACAAUAUAAUCACAGCUCAUGAUCAAGUAAAAAAGUUAUGGACCAGCAUCUUCGACACAUUGCAACUUGGAAGUUCAUUUUUAUCAAGAUAUCUUUUCAACAAAGAAUCAGAUAGAGAAAAAAUAAGUAGGGUUUUCUAUGCCUAGACAUGUAUUACCACAUGUUAGAUUUACAUCCCGUGCACAUAAUAUAUAAGUUAAAUUUGAGUGCAAAACUAAAUUACUUGAACAUGCUUAAUACUAAACAAAGAAUUUUGCCAAUAAUAUGUCGGAAUUAUGUCAUGUUAUUGUGUCUAAAUAAUAUACCUCAUGUUGUGUCAUGUACUUCGAGGAUUUGCAACUUAUAUAAGAAUUUGGCGAAUAAUAUGUCAGAAUUAUGUCAUGUUAUUGUGUCUAAGUAAUAUACCUCAUGUUGUGUCAUGUACUUUGAGGAUUCGCAACUAAUAUAAGAAUAUAAAGUUGAUCAAGGUAAUUACUAAAAGAAAGUAAAAGGUACAUAGACAAAAAGAGAAGAAAGUAAGGGAAAUAUUGAAAAGAUAUCUCAAUUUUCACUCAAUGACUGAGAAAAAUACCAAAAAAGUCAUAAUUAAUUCAAUUUUAAAAUUUCUAAUUGGAUUAAUUUACCUCCACACAUUUUGCAUUUGUGCUAAUUGAAUCCAUUCGAUCAAUUCUGAUCGUAAAUCGCUAACAUAGAUGCCGGCCAUCCCACAUAGCAUGGCUGCCAUAGGAUGGCCGACGCUAGCGUAGACAUUUUCACAUAAUUUUUUUAUAUUUUUUUGAAAAUUUUAAUUUUUUAUUUUUUUUAAUUUUUUAAUUUUUUAAUUUUUUUUUUUUGGUUCUAUGUGGUUGGCAAGGGUUGCCGGCACCCUCACCAGCUACUAGGCGAGGGCUGCAAAGCCCUUGCCAGUCGUCAUUUAAGGUCGCAACCCUUGCCCAGCCUUGCCCAGAUGUAGGCAAGGUGGAGGUAGGCAUGGGUGAAGUUGGCCAUCGCCUUGUUCAUGACUAGCAAGGCCGAGGCCACCUUCAUUCUUGGCUGGUGAGGCUGGCCUCGCCUGCUGUCACGCCCCGAUCCUCGGACGCACGCACAUCCUUCUACUUGGUCGAUUUUUAAAAUGCGAUAUCCCAGGACUAUGUAUCGCCGACCCUUUCUUUCUAUUAAGCACAUGCGGAAGCAGUUAUAAAUCCCCAGACAAUAAAACAAUGGGAUAGGAAAGUAGGCCAUAUUUUUCAUAUUGAAAUUCAUAACCACACUUUCAUUAACAGCACAACUCAUAGUAUAUUUACAAUACUAUUUACAACAUAAAAGUCCCACACCUAUCUACACUAAGACAGGGUGCACAAAAGGGAUGGGAUCUCAAUCCACAUCUGGGUUGUACCCAAGAUCCCUCUCUGGAUCAUCUUCUACUUCAAAAUACUUUCUCCCCUUCAGGUUCUUCCUCCUCAGCUUUUCCUCAGGGUCCUGAAAUGGUUAUUCAAUAACCAAUGAGACCACGUCUCAGCGAGUCCUACCCCCUACGACUCGAUUAGUAAACUAAUACACCAUCCGGUUGCCUAAGCACAACAUGAGUCAGAGGACUUACCUUAGCCUCAGUUCCAACCUGCAAUUCAAGGUUAAACACAGAUAUUCAAACAUUUCACGACAUCCGAUCAAGCACUGGUCAAUCGACUAAGUCGAUUACAUGUCAAUCUGACCAUCUCUAGGUCAUUCCCACUCAUACCAUGAUUUCCCAGUGGUGUACUCAUUCACCAAAUCACAUGUGUUUCUCGGGCGUCGUUUUCGCCAAUGACAUACCGAUCACCGACACCGUGCGUUCUUUAAGGCGCCGUUUUCACCAGUGAUAACCUUGAUCACCGAACCACGUGUCCUUUCAAGGGCGCCGUUUUCGCCAAGGUGACAUCGGCUAUAGACAACAUCGUGCGUUCUUUAAGGCGCCGUUUUCACCAGUGAUAUUCCCAUAAUCACCGAACCACGUUUGUCUAUAAGUCAUUUACGUGCGUUCUUUAAGGCGCCGUUUUCGCCAGUGAUACUUCCAAUCACCGAACCACGUAUGUCCAAUAAUAUCGUACCUGAUUGGUCUCACCAUUCUCCCUACUAUAUAGCCCAUCAACGUACUGGCGCUAUAUACUCAUGCUCGGCCAUUACCAAUCAAAUACUCAAUAACAAACAUUUAAGGAUAAAUCCUCAAAUUUCACAAUUAAUUCAAUUCCACACAACGUAGAGCUCAAAUAAAUAAACGGUCUGCACCACGACAAUCGGCACGAAAUUCCGGUCACCGGCCAUCCCGGUUGAAUUUCCGGAAAAAUAAUUAAUUAAAUAAAUAAAUUUCGAAAAUAAAUAAAUAAACAUUGAAAAUCCAAUUUAGGCCUAUAUUGCCUUAUUGGAGCCCGAAACGGGUCGGGAAAAAUCCCGAGAUGCAUUCAAUAAAUAACCAAACAUUUCUACUUGCUAAUAGCUAGGUCUAACCACCUAACAUGCAUCAUUAAGUCACUAAACUAAUUGUUCUAACCUAAUCUAACCACCUAUGUGCAUGUAAUUAAAUCUAACCAACCUUAAGCAUAAUUAGCAAACUAAUAAAGCAUUAGUGAGUAAAACUCACUUGAUCAAAAGCGGGGAUCGAAUCACCGCAACGGCGACGCGACAACGGCCGAAAUCCGAACUUUCGGCGGCGUCAACGGACACUCAGGCCGGGCCCAAAGAUCUUGCCUCGCGGGCUUGGGCUUCAAAAGAACUUGCUGUACUUCACUGGACUGGGCUUGAAUCAAGACUGAACAUGGGCUUCAAAUGGACUGAAGCUUGCUGUGAAUGGGCUUGAACCAGAAAAGAAUCUGCUGAAUUUCUGGACUGAACUAACUGCGCUAGCUGAACUGGGCUUGCUGGUCUUGUGCUGAAUUCGGUGGCCCAAAGGACUGAAGCUCACGGGCUGGGCUUGCUGCAGGGCUUGUCUUCAGCUAGUUUGUUGGACUGAAGAUCACAUGGGCUGCUGAGCUGGGCCUGAGCUUGUACGAAGGAAAACGGAGGAGGAUCUAUGGGCUUGGUCUUCUCGGGGUUGCUGGAGUUGACCGGUCUAGCGGAAUACUCGAAGAAGCAGCUCGUUGCUGUUGCUAGGCGGAACACGAAAUCAACGCUGGUGGAGGGCGCUGGUUCGUUGAUCGUUGAAGACAAGCCGAAGUAGAGAAUUCUUCGUGGGACUGCUGGUCGUGGAGACUUCGGUCAACAAACGGUGGGGGAGAGGGUACCGUUGACUGGAUCGUGUGCACGUGAGGUGGUUUAAAUCAACAGGGCUUCGGUGAAAUGAACUUCCGCAGCUACUGGACGCGUGGAGGCUUCACUGGACGCACGAAGAGAGGAAGCAAACCGUGGACGGUGCGGCUCCUUCCUGCAAUGGUUGACGUUGGACUCGCGGCAAGAGGAGAAGACUCGGUGAAUGGCUUCGCAUGGGGCAGCUUCGGUAAGUCUUUAAUGUUGCUGGAGGAGACACGAAGUAGUGGAGAUGGGCGCUGCUUCAGAGGUCAACAAAAGCUAGUUUGUUGACUGCAUAUGGAGACAAGAAGCAGCAUCAAUUGCCGCUUGAUGCGUGGCCAGCUGCAGCGUGAGACAAGGAGGUCCACGGAAGAGAGAAAGGGGCUUCGGUUUUCUCGAGUGAAAGAGAGGAAGAUGGAGGGGAAACCGCACGAAGAAAAUGAAAAGGUAGAGAAGCAAUUCACGGCAGCUUGGGGAAGAGGAUGAGGAAGAGGUGGGGGCCCUUUGGCAUGAUAUUUUACCAAAUAUCUCUCACAAACCACUCUUAGCCAUGUAUAAUUUACUUGGCUCACAAUAGGCCUCCCAUGCACUCUUCUAGAAGCCAAAAUGGUCCAUAUGUUGUGGCUAGGUGGGGGUACACGAAUUUGGGGGAGAUGGCUUAAAUGAACUCAAAUUCUCUCUUGAAUAAAUCUCAAAUGAUCUUAACAAAUAUCACUUGACUUGUGGAUGCCUCAAUUGAUAAUUUUCUUCAUCCAAUAAUCUCUCACACUUCUCAAUUCCGCAAUCAAAACCACCUUCGGCAUUUUCCGCAUAAAAACAACCCGGCGACGACUUUUUCCCAAAAAGUGUCAGUUGUCAGAAAAAUCUUCUGAGACUGAGUCGAUGCUCCUAAAAUUUAUUGUGACAUGGCCAAAACUUCAAUUUCUGAAAUCGGACUCGAAUUGGCGGUUAAUUUUCAUUCGACGCGUUUUUAGCGUGACCUAGACUAUCGGGUAGUUUUCAGAACUUUUUAAGGCAAAUGACCCGUGGUCGAUUUUCUUCGAGCCACUAUAAACCCACUCAACUCAAUGGCGACUCUUGAUUGUCGUGAAAAUCUCGAGGAUUCAAUUACGGACACAGGGUACCAAAACAAUAAGAAAUCGGUCUAGUGCCGGUCAACGAGAAUUUUCUAAUUUAGUGGUGUCACCCACGAUUAGCCACACAUCUCAGUCGAACCGACCUAUCUCUGAUUUCUAAUCGAUUUUAUACUGCGCCGCAAUGGCCUCUAAAGAUAGACACGGUCAAGAAGCCGAUUCCUGAUCGAGUUCUCAAGUCUAUUGCCUUAAAAUUCCUUAAUAAUUUCCCCAGCUAGUCUAGUUAUCUCAAGAGUGAUCGGCUCUGAGAAUAACCCUAUAGACGCGUCAAUGAAAUGCCCGAUUAAUUCAGUAGAAGACAGGGUUGAAAAUUUGGGAUGUCACACCUGCACCCACGUUGCUCACCCUUAUCAAGUUUUUGCAUUCAUCGAAGAAUCUAGCUUCCAUGAAGAAAGUGCAGUGUAUCGUUCUCAUGGAACCUCUGAUCCUUCUUACUUAUCAUACAAUGAACAUAAACGAUCACUUGCUUGGGUCAACUUUCUCUUUCGAUUCACAGAAUUUGAAUUUGUGAUUUGUGUCUAGGGACUUGCCGCUUGGUCAAUUGAGGAUUUGGGUGAGAGCUGAUAUAAUACGCAAAUUGCCGAUUACAAUUUCGGCGAAUUUGAGGGAAAUCACGUCUCCUAAUGGCCGGCUUCAAUGGCCAAUCAUCAGCGCCCUACCCUAAGAUGUGGAUCAUCCAAGGCACAGUAGCAUGGACUAGAUCAGAAUCAUUCUCAACGAGUCCAUAAGAAGUGAUCACAAGACUCUGCUAAGUGGUAACACGAUGUAUAGAGUCUGACACCUGCCCGGUGCUAGAAGGUUGGAAGGAGAACACAAAUCUAGUAAUAAGCCUAGGUAACCCGUGACCUGUGAGGCUUUGGAGCUGAAAUCCAAAUAUUAAUAUUCAGUAUUUAUCUAAAAUAUUCGAACAAAUCAUAGACUGUACAAUGUCAUAAAGAGCAAAUGAAUGGAAAAGGAUGGGAAAAUGGCGAAAGAAAUGACAUUCAAGUUACAAGGUUGUAUAUAGCAGAGAAGGAAAACAAAUUCAUUUUAUAAUUGCCUAGACAAAAUAUUUCAAGGCCGUAUUUUCUGUAUGUAAUGAGUUGCCAAAGCAUACUAUUAUCUUAGAAGCCUAAAAAGGUUAAGGUGAGAUCAGUCCUUUUAAAUAUAUGCAACUGAAGAGCUUAAAUUGGAGAAUUGCUUGACCAAGAACCAUAUAUGUUAGUAAUUCACAAUAAGGAUCAAGAAGAUACUUCUCUCAACGAGUCUAACAAAUGGAUUAGCUAUUAAGAUACUGCACUAUGUGUUUUUCCUUAACCAAGGACAUGACGUCCCAUUUCUCAAAUGACAAUCUGGCUAAGAAUACCCAGUCUAGAGGAAAAAGCUACAUUUGAUAAAUAAGGCAUCUGAAAAUUGGCCCAAAAAAAAAGAAGACUGGGCAUCUAUUACUCCUACCUUUUGUUACUGAGCAAAUUCUACACCCAUUCUUUGCAACCAUUAUAUGGCUGAACACUGUUCCACUGAAUCAACUAUACUUGGGUGCAUAUGAUCUAUAAUUUCCAUUAUUGCAAGAGAAACAAGAAAAAAAAUUGGAAACAUCCAUAAAUCACGUAGACACUUGAAAAGAGGAAAAAAGAUUAAAUUUCUGUGGAAGCAACCAACUAUUGCUGAUGAUUCUGCAUUUCGACCUAGCUCAUCAACUUGAAACCCAAAAGAGAUUCUAUUUGAAAAACAUGUCCAAAUACCACGCAAGAGAUAAUUUAGCGGACUGAUUGACAAAGCACUUUACAAAAGAAGGUAUCAUCCAAGCAAAAACAAGUUCGCAGAUAAAGAAAUAUGCUUAACAUAGGAAGUUUAUAUUUAGGUCCUAAACAUAUCAACUUUAAGACAUGUCUGAACUGCAGAAAACAAAUAUUCGGGCAAGCAAUUUAACUCUGACGUGUUCCAUUUAAAUCAAUUGGUAGUAACUAGGCCAUACGCCUUGGCAAACUUCUUGCAUCAAAUUAAAAGAGGUGUGUUUGGGUCAGCCAUGGCUUAAACCUAAUGUCCUUCAAGAUCAAACAACACGCUGUAAACAGGACAUACUUCAAGGCUUUUAAUACAGAUGGACAAGUUCUCUCAUAGAGUUAUUGGCAUUGGUGAUCUGAUUGAGAGAAAAUUUAUGGAUUACUUGUAUGCUUAUACUGGCUAAGAUGGGUUUCAAUCAGCUCCAUCUUCCAAAUGUCGCAUAUGAACCAUGCUCCCCAUUAACAACAGUCUCAUUCUCUCUAUCAUGAAAAUGUGCAAUAUUUAGGGCUAGUUUUUGAGCUUCACAUGGUGGUCCUUUAUCUGCAAGGAGCAUCCUCUUGCUUGAUGUCAUAUUCAGAAAGGCGAUGAGCUACUUCAAGUUUCCCACAGUACUUUUCACUUGUAAUCAGAUUAUUAAGAGCAAUACUCGAGUUUCUUGUUUUAAAACUAAUAAUUCAACAGAAAGACAUUGUCCGUAAUCUAGAUUAGCUACUCUAUGCACUGCUCCAAUCACAAUGAAACAAAUCCUAUUUCACUCAGUUUUUAACUUUUAUGUCAGCAAAGUCUAAGUAAAAAAUUGAUGACUUCUGAACAAGCUUAGGAAACAUAAAAUGUCAGAUCAUGGCAGCAUUAGACAGAUGAAAAAAUCAUACUAGAAACACAUGCCAUACACCACAAUUUAGGAAGCACAUGCCCUCAUGUAAGCAAGAAGAGACACUUGCAACUAACAAACAAGAAAAGAGAUUUCUUUAUUGAGUACAUUACCCAUGGCAUAUAAGAAAUUCCUCAGUUAAAAUAUCACAUUUCUUUGAAAAAGCUAUGCUUGUUAAAUACUGGAAACACAUGCCAUGCACCACAAUUUAGCAAGCACAUGCCUUCAUGUAUGCAAGAAGAGACAAUUGCAACUAAAAAAAGGAAACGAGAUUUCUUUGUCGAGUACAUUGCCCAUGGCAUAUCAGAAAUUCCUCAGUAAAAAUAUUACAUUUCUUUGAAGAAGCUAUACUUGCUAAAUACUGGAAACACAUGCCAUACACCACAAUUUAGCAAGCACAUGCCCUCAUGUAUGCAAGAAGAGAUAAUUGCAACUAAUAAAAAAGAAAAGAGAUCUCUUUAUUGAGUACAUACAUGCCUAUGGCAUAUCAGAAAGCAUGCAUUCUUCAUAGUAAAAAUAUCAUAAUUCUUUGAAGAUGUUAUAUUUACCAUUUUUUAAAACACUAGAGACAUUAAAGAACUCACUAGAGUGAAAAAAAGCAAGGAAGAAGAAAUGAAGGAACAGAGGGGAAUGGGAAAGGGAAAUAAAAAAAACUAUGGUUACCUUAACUUGCAGCACUUAAUUUUUUAGGGAAGAUAAAUAAAUAUAAGGAAAUGUCUAACAAAUCACAUUGAUUUAAAAAAUCAAAAGGAAACAAAGAAGGGAAAUAAAUAUACAAUAUUAACUUCUUGACACUUCUAGAAACUCAAGUUUCUUAGAUUUAGACUUGAAAAAGAAAAGAAAAGGUGGAAAAUUAGUUUCAUAUACCUCCAUUUCAUUUCAUGGUUAUGUGUCACAAUAUUAGAAGUGUGGCAACAAACAGAAUUACUAUGAAACCACAUCCAUCAUCAAUCAACAUAAGAAAUCAUACAAACUUAUAGUCAGCUAUACUUGUCAAUUGACAAAUGUCACAAUUUCAAAGUGGGGCUAAGUAGAUAGGAAAUCAGCAACAAAAGCAAGUUCUGAAAUUGACCUAAUGCAUGCCUCAGAGGUACUUGAGUGCAAUGACUAUUGAGCCACAGCCUCCAAAUAUAUCAUUUGUACAGCCAUAAUAUGCUUCCUCUAUACCAAAAAAUGGCUAAGAGUCAUCUAAUCAUAUUUGAAUUAACAAAUUUGACAAAAGUUUAGUUUUAUUUCAGUGUUACCAACAGAUGUACCAAUGCUUGAUGAUGCUGCUGCACACAUUAUGCAUGGUUCAGCUCACAUAGAGGGAGCAUGCUGAAAAUUUCUCUGCAACUUCUGUAGAUGAAAAUCCAGUCCAUUGCCAUUGCUCGAGAAGAAUAUCAAGAGCUUCUGUCUCUGCAUAUCUUGUUGCCUAGGAAAGUGCAAUGAGAAAAAUGAAGAGAGCAUAUCAAACUAUGGAAAUUUGUCAGAGAGAAAGUUGCUCUUAGUGUAGUUUCAACAUAAAUUUAGGAAAUGCAUUUCAUGAAACAUGUUUUCUCCUUCACCUUUAUUUAAUUAUUUUUACUCUUGCUCAAAGUUUGGGUCCAAUGGUUUAUCUUUGAAUCAGUGCAUCCCUUAGUACCGUUUUCUUCUUCCUCUUAGAGUUGAGAGCAUUUGUGGAGCAAAUAAAACAUAGUUAACAAAAGCAAAUAAUGACAACACAAUAUAACUUGUCUUCUUCCUCUUCAAAUCGCCUCUUUCUUAUCAGCUCCACAUUGAUUAUACUUUUAAGGCUUGAUGGUGCUCAUCCUUUGUUUGAUAUGCAGACUAAGCGAGGGAGAUUAGAGUGCACACAAUGUAUCCUAGGGACAGGAUUUUCGUCAAAGUCAACUACGUUAGAUCAUGAAUCCUAUUGGAAAAAUCACUUUCUGUAAGACAAUCAGCAAUACACCUUAUCCGGAAAUUUCCUAUCUUUCUUCAAAUACCCACAACACUGAGAAUCUAAGAGAGGAUCUUAUGCGUGAAUCAUGGACAACUCUCUUUGCUCCUCAUUGUUAGGUAUUCGAUCUAAUUUCUAGUACUUAAGCAUUAUAUUCUUUGAAAUUUUAUGUGAAAUUACAGUUAAACUCCCUAUACUUGAGAUUUGCAAAGUCUCUUGACUCGCUUCCCUCAACUUUAGAAUUUUGCAUCUCUCACAACACCUUAUUAAUCAGGAGAGGUGAAGCCACCAUAACAACUUGCUCCAAUGUAAUGCAAAGCAAGAAAUACAUACCCAGAAUAAUCUAUAAAUUCAUAAUCCAUUGGGGCCAUUAAGCACACAUUAACAUUUUCAAGCAUGCGAUACAACACAAUCUAUGAGCGCUCAACAUUCUGGUCCAGCAGCAUGCAACAGCUUUACUUUCAUUAAAACUUUUUCUUUGACUAUUCUUAGUCCGAAAUUCAGACAGAGCACAAUGGCAUAGGAGAAUCGUGAAAUAUUGUACAUAGUAAAGCAAGAUUCUUGCUAUUGUUAGCCAUAGUCAUAUUUUAUGAAAGAAUAAUGGGAACAAAACCAUUUACAGCCUAAUAAUGCAUAGAAAAUUCCAUUCUUUGACAGACUUGUUCAGAUAUACUAUAUUAGCAUCUAUUAAAGAAAUAUUAAANNNNNNNNNNNNNNNNNNNNNNNNNNNNNNNNNNNNNNNNNNNNNNNNNNNNNNNNNNNNNNNNNNNNNNNNNNNNNNNNNNNNNNNNNNNNNNNNNNNNNNNNNNNNNNNNNNNNNNNNNNNNNNNNNNNNNNNNNNNNNNNNNNNNNNNNNNNNNNNNNNNNNNNNNNNNNNNNNNNNNNNNNNNNNNNNNNNNNNNNNNNNNNNNNNNNNNNNNNNNNNNNNNNNNNNNNNNNNNNNNNNNNNNNNNNNNNNNNNNNNNNNNNNNNNNNNNNNNNUAAAGCAAAAACUGCAACUAAUUUGAGAAACUACAUGUGCUCAUUCCAGUGUGUCUUAUAUUGGUAUGUCAGAAGUUUAUCUUUCAUAAUCAGAUUCACUCAAACAUUCAAGAAGCGUCUAGGAGUUUUAGCUUCUCAGUCAUUUUCCUUCAUAAAAGCUAUAGCACAUAAGGAUAAAAGAGAAUCCUAAACAGUUGCAAAGGCCUCAGAAUUCAGAAUUGACAAUCAGCUUCUUGUGCUUUUGUCUCUAUUCUACCAAAUAACUUAUGUAAACUCCGUGUUUCUGGUGAUUAUUUCUUUCUCAUAUCCACAGUCCAUAGGGCAAAAGAAAAUAACCACCUAACCAGUCAUCCAUGGGCAAAACUGAUGUUCAUAUUACUCUCACACUCCAAGUAAAUUUGGCUUUCAAUUCUCCCUAGUUGCCGGAGUCAAGAAGUGGUUAAAGGACUUGAUCAUCAAGCAAUCUUUCUAGGUAGCUUGCCUCAUAAAACAAAGAGACGAAGCCCUAUCCCAGUGAUUGAAGUUUCUCAGAAUUCAAUUCUCCCAGCAAAUCGAUCACCCACUGCACCUCUGUAUGAUGAUAAGUACAUACUACACAUCCACAUUUCCUAGACGCCACAAAAGCACCCAAAUCCCUCCCUCCCUCCCUCCCUCCCAAACUACAUCACCCGGAUUGGCUCAGUUUUUUGGCCGGUAAAGGGGACCAACCCAUGUACGCCCUACUUCCCCUUAUUUCAUUCUCCCUCACUUGUUUUUUCCUUUAAGCCUAGACUUCCCCUACUUCUUUCAAUAAAUUGACACCUAUGAGAACAAGAGAAAGAAAAGCUAUACCUUGCAGAGAUCAUCGCUGAUGUUGCAGCGUGUAAUGUUGAUAACCUAUGAAUUCACUAUCCAGCAUCCACAGACAGAACCUACGAAGAAACGCUGCUUUAGCGUCUCUCGAACAAAUUCAACGACACGUUCUUCAAGCUCCCGCACAAUAGUAGCACCAACUGAGUUGAAUUCAAAAUCCAGCUCAAGUAUUACAUCAACUAAAUCAAAUUCGGACGCGUCGGGCGUCACCUGAUCUAUAGCAAGCUGCAUGAAGCCCAGAAUGAACCUCAGGAGAGAAUCGUUCACCCGAAGCCACGUCACCAGUUUCCAUGGCUUUGGUCGGCGGUGGUGGCCCGUCACCUCCGCUGGCCGGCCUCCGUCGCCGUCGAUUCGCUAGGGACUAUCCCAUUUCGGGAAGACGAAUUCCUUCCGUCCGUUCGUCGCCUCCGUUGGCAGGCGGUGAUCUCUUGCAUUUCGUCAGAGCUUGGUGGUGUGUGGUAUGGAAGAUGAGGAGGAGUCGCGAUGCCGAAAGUGGCGUGGAAGGAGUUGGAAGUUUGGCUGUCGCGGAGAAAAAGAAAAGAAUGAGCUUACAGCGGGAAAAUCAAAAGAAUAUAAACGAAGAAAAGAAAGAAAUACGGAAUUCUAUUUGGGAAUUAAAGUUAACUAACUAGGGUUAAUUAAAGGGGAUUUGAGCAAAAAAGAAGAGGUAUUGUUUAUUUAUGAGAUAAGUGCAUUAGAAGUCCUAAAACUUAUCAUAAAAAUGCAAUUGAGUAAAACUUUCAAAAAAUGCAAUUAAGUCAUAAAACUUGUCACAAAAGUUCAAUCAAGUUCUAAAACUUCCAAAAGAUUCAAUAAAGUCCUAAAACUUGUCUCGAAAGUGCAAUCGAUGCCUAAAACUUUCAAAAAGUGUAAUCAAUGAAAGGACUUAGAUUGAACCACAUUGAUAAAUUUUAGAACUUGAUUGUACUUUUUGAAAGUUUUAAGACUUAAUUGCAUUUUAUAACAAGUUUUAGGACUUAAUUGCAUUUUGUGACAAGUUUUGGGACUUAAUUGCACUUUUUGAAAGUUUUAAGGCUUAAUUACAUUUUCAUGACAAGUUUUAGGACUUCCAAUACAUUUAUCCCUUUAUUUAUUAUAUUUUCUUAUUAUGAUGGAAGGGUACUUCAACAAUGACCAAAAUCAAUUUCGAUAUGCUCAUUUUUGUUUUUGCCAGAAAUUUGACAUUGCUAAUUUUCAAAAAAAGUAAUUUCUAAAAUAAUCACAUUAUAGGACACCUAUAUAGUCAAGGCUUCUGAUAAUUUUUAUGAGUGAUUGAUCAAAUCCAUUUCCAGAGUGAUAAUUGAGAGUGAAGGGAGUGAAGGGAGUGAAGGGAGAACGACUGAAAUAGCUAUGAUUUGGUACUUGAGUAUAAAAUGUAUCUAUGAAGUUUAGAUGGAAGGAUGAAUUUAUCUGAAAUACACUUAGUGUAAGUAAAAGAAAAUGUAUUGGAAUUGAGAUUAAAUUGAAAAAAAUAAAUUUAGAGACAAAAAUACAUGGAAAUGGAAGUCUUCGGUUCAAGUGUAAGUGAAGCAAAAAAAAAAGACAAAGAUGAACUCACGGAGAGAGUUGUAGCGUGCGCUCGUCUCUGAUGCCUUGGUCCUUUGUACUCCAUCGAAGUCGUUCCGUUGAUGAACCGAACGGUUCAUUUCACACGUUCUUCACAUGUUAGGACCAAAUCUUCAUCCAUCACGCCCUUUCCAUGUUUGCAUGCUUUGGCCCCAUGUAAAUGAGCAUGCUGCGAUCUUCUUCUUCUUCUUCUUCUUCUUCUUCUUCUUUGCCCGAAGCCUCAUCACGUGACUCACCCAGCCACGACCUCUGCAUGCCUUUCUUGGUCGAACUGAUCUUCUCAAUAUUAAAGUCGAGAAGUAGGUCGAGCCUAUCUCUCCUUGUCGAGCUCUCUCGCCCAGCGUUGAUCGUUUCCCUCAUUGUAGCUGGCAAAAUUAAGAAAGCUAGUUCAAGUGGACACGUAAAAAUAAAAUGCUUUUGCCCCUUUGUCGUAAUCCAACUUCCACCUGGUUGCUUCGCAAUCCCUUCUUCCUUCAUAGUCACUCCUAAUCUCAAGAUAUCACCCCCUCUAUUAGCAGAAGCACAGAGGUUGGACAGCAAAACAUUGGCAGCACUUCAAAGUGGUUCUGAGUCAAGAAUAUUUUAGGCAACUCAUUUUGCCAUAUCUAGGUUAGAAUGCAUCUUGCGAGAACUAAGCAAAGCAGUCCACACUAUGGAGUUAGCUUUAAAGGGCAUGUUUCUCACAAGAUCCUCAGCUACCUCUAGCUUCCGCAUCAUCCUAGCAUAUCCACCAUGCAUGCAUAAUGCCCGUGCUUCAACUUGAUGGAAAAGCUCCCACUAAAAUAUCUCAACAGGCAUCUCCCUUUCUGUGACAUCGCAGAGUGACUAUAGGAAGAAAGCAGUCCCGUGAGUGCGAUCUCAUCUGGUGGUACCGGUCCGCGUAUCAUUUGGAACUCGGAAAAUAGCGAGGGCAAAGCAGGAACGACCCGCUUCAAGCCAUCGCCAAACGCCACGCCGGCACGCAAUCUCGAGGCUAAAGGCCGAAGCAACAUUGGAGAGGGACAGAUGACGGAAGAGGAGGAGGAGGAGGGAGGCAGUUGGAGCUCGGUCCUUGAAGGAUUGUGAAGCCAGUGUAGUCAGUUCAAUAUCAAUAUCGUCAAGCGAUGGUAGUGGUGAUCGCUAGAGAGGGAAAAACGAAACGGAGGAGCCAUCGACGAUGGCGGAGGCAUGCCGGUGGAGGGAAUGGCAAGUUGAGCUAAAAGUGUUUCAAUUGGCUGGAGCGAUGGGCUGAUGUGAAUUGAGCUAAAAGGCUUGGAUUGUGCUUGUGGUCGGACCGGGCUACAUAGGGCCGAACUUAAGGGAUGGACUAGAGCUUUAUCUUUUCUCUCCCUUUCUCUCUUCUUUUUGUUUUUCGUUUUUCGUUUUUUUUUUAUAAAAAUGGAUUUUUGACUAGUUGGCAAAAAAAAACAUUUUUCAGCACUAGACAAAAAUUCAAGCUUAUACAUCCUUUGUGGAUCGAGGCCCUCUUAUAAUUCUAUUACAAAAGAUGUUGCAAAAGUAGCACUCCUACUAACACCACUUAACACUAAUUGAUAUAAAUCGAUUACCUAAGUUCAAAAUAUCCUUGAAUGCAUUCAACUUUCUAAUAAAAAACACAAUAUUGUCAUCAGAUCUUGACAUCAAAUAUUGAGAGCAUCAAAAUCUCAAUUUAUUUUGAGAUUGACCAUUAAAGAAUCUUUCAGUAACUUCGGAUACAAGAGCAUAACAUUUGUGAAAUUGUAAUCAUGUUGAUUUUAAUCAAAUGUCAAUCAACCUUAAUUUGUGCCACAAGUACAUGCGCAUAUCAUAAAAUGAAUUCAUGCUUUACAAGCCUAAGCAUCUCAGAAACGAGAUAUAAAAUAUGUACCACUAAGUUUAUAAACUUCCAUCUCACAUCAUUGAAACUAGUUUAUAAACUUCUAUCUCACAUCAUCGAAACUACCUAGGACCUCACAAUUCCAUUUAACAUUACAAUGGAGACAAUCAAACAAAACUCAUAGAGCUUUGGUGUAUUCUUUUACAAAGUUAUCUCUAGAUGGAUAAUGCAACCGACAACUAGAAAUUCUCUGGUACCAAUCAAAACGGCACAUCUUACACUAUUCCAACCAAAAAAAGCAUGCACUAUUGAUAAGAUCAAUAUUUCAUUUUUUUUUUAUGGGAAUUUAUUAUCAAGCGAUAUACAAUCACAUUCCCGAGAGCGUUAUUAUAUGUUGUUCAUUGAUGAUGUGAGUAUGAUUAUAACCGAUUGGUUGCCAAAGUCUAGGAGGCUUGUUUGUCCAAAGGAAAUAAGCUUUCUUGGACCAUAUUGUCUCAUGAUUAACUUCAUUGAGAGGCUCCAAAUGACGAGUUACUUACUCUAUCAUAAAGGGAAAUUUAUCAUAAUCACAAGGAUUACCACAAAUCUCAUUCUGUGAACUACUUUGAUGGUCAAAUACCCAUAUCACAUUGUGUAAAUAUUCUUGAAAAUGGGAUGUAAAGGAUAGUUACAUGAGCAAUUCCACCAACCUCAAUAUGUGAAGUACUUUGGUGCUCAAUCACACAUCAAAUUACGUGAAAUCUCCAAAUAAAAAUUGCUCAUAUGACGUGAGAAAAUUUCACACGACACCACGACUAACUGACUUUGUCAAACAAUUGCUCAUAGUACAAUAUGACUUCCUAUGCUACAGAAAAUACUAAAUAACGUUCAAUAUCCUUCAAUUUCUGCAUUAUAGAAACACUUCCUACAUUACAGAAAAUAAACUUUCGGCGUCAGCAAAUUCGACACUUUUUGGAGUGCAAUUAAACUUUAUUAUGAUUUUACUAAAUGCUAAUCAUAUUCUAUUGUUCAAAAUAAAAUCUAUAAUUUAUUGAGAGAUAGACCUAACUGAAAAGCUUGUAAAUUACUCUAUAGCCAAUCAAAUGUAUUAUCGUGUAAUUGCAUAAUAACUCGAAAUUGCACUCAAUUAAACGAUUCAUUAAGAUCGAAUAUAGAAUCAUGAAUAUGCAUCUAAGUAGCCUAAUGAGGGUCCAAUUAUGAGGAAUUUCCACCAUUAACACUCUGUAAAAUUAUGAGGAAUUUUACCCAUCUAUUCAGGUGCCCUGAACGGGAUUGGUACAAAAUAAAAUUGCAAAAUGACCAACAUUGCUGCGGACAAUACAAUUAUGAAGCCAAUUUGGACAUAUGAACAGAGAUCGACAUCCAAUUUGAAGCUUGUCUACUACAUCAAAAGGUAAUUUAUUCCAAAAAUUUCACAAUUCCCACGACCUAUAUCAUAUCACAACAUAAAAUUAAUAAAGUAGAACUAAUAUUCAACAUACAAGAGAACUCACAUCUAUAAAAAGUUCUAAUAGAUUAUUUUGGUUCAAAAACACCAUCUCCCGGUUCAUUUUAGAGUAUGGUCUUUUGGGUAAUGGUUUGGUAUUUUCUAUGUUUCACUAGACAUGAUAAUAUCAUAAUCAUUAUGAGCUUUAAAAAAAAAUCUCAAAUUCGACAUUUUAUUACCAGAAGAAAAAAGGUCACUUUAGGAUUGAACAAAGACGAAAGCACACAUAGGGAAGAAGCAAUUGCCAAUGGCCCCUUGACCCAACAAAACAUUGAGAUUUUCAUGUACUUUUGGAGCCACCACGUGCCUAUCUUAACCAAUUGUGGUUGCCAUAUGAUUGCUCAAAUCAUCGAGACUUUCUCACAAUAAUAUGCUAGGCAAAGUUAACGACCAUCAAGACAUUAAUUGACUCAUCAAUAUUAUAAAUUCGAGUAUCUACAAGAUAAUUGGUAUAAUCGGGAACAUUAAAUGCACUAAUUCCAAUUCUUUGCCAGGAGAUUUGCUUGAAACAUAUGCAAAUCAUUGUCCUCUUUAUCGUCAUUAGGAAUGACACAUGAUUUGGUCCAGAACUCUGGAGCUCAGAGACAUCGAUAUCACACCUCGAAUAACUCAAAAGUUCAAAAAAGUCGUAAAAAGAUAAGCUAGAUUACACAAUACAUUGAUGACAAAUAUUAGCAUCAGAAAAGUGAUGCCUACACAGUUGAUGCCGUAACUUAUCUUAACAAUCUUAUAAUCAAGUUAAAGCAUGAAAUGGACUUCCAAUCACAACUGCAACCCUCUGUAAAUACAUGAACAUCCUGGCAAAAACUGACAUGGACAAGUAUCAUGCUUGCUUCCACAGGUCCCUUGAUGAAAUUCUGUGAUUGGUAAAGUAGUAAAAGGCACAUGCAUUGUCAGUCAUAUUACACUAAAUUUUGAAGACACUUCUAGGA
rnacentral:lncRNA from 1 species